CGCUGGCGGCAUGCCUAAUACAUGCAAGUCGAGCGAACAGAUGAAGUGCUUGCACUUCUGACGUUAGCGGCGAACGGGUGAGUAACACGUAAGGAAUCUACCUAUAAGCGGGGGAUAACAUUCGGAAACGGGUGCUAAUACCGCAUAAUACCUUCUUCCGCAUGGAAGAAGAUUGAAAGACGGCUCUGCUGUCACUUAUAGAUGACCUUGCGGUGCAUUAGUUAGUUGGUGGGGUAACGGCCUACCAAGACGAUGAUGCAUAGCCGACCUGAGAGGGUGAUCGGCCACAUUGGGACUGAGACACGGCCCAAACUCCUACGGGAGGCAGCAGUAGGGAAUCUUCCGCAAUGGGCGAAAGCCUGACGGAGCAAUGCCGCGUGAGUGAAGAAGGCCUUCGGGUCGUAAAACUCUGUUAUAAGAGAAGAACAAAUUGUAGAGUAACUGCUACAGCCUUGACGGUAUCUUAUCAGAAAGCCACGGCUAACUACGUGCCAGCAGCCGCGGUAAUACGUAGGUGGCAAGCGUUGUCCGGAUUUAUUGGGCGUAAAGGGAGCGCAGGUGGUUUCUUAAGUCUGAUGUGAAAGCCCACGGGUUAACCGUGGAGGGUCAUUGGAAACUGGGAAACUUGAGUACAGAAGAGGAAUGUGGAACUCCAUGUGUAGCGGUGGAAUGCGUAGAUAUAUGGAAGAACACCAGUGGCGAAGGCGACAUUCUGGUCUGUUACUGACACUGAGGCUCGAAAGCGUGGGGAGCAAACAGGAUUAGAUACCCUGGUAGUCC
rnacentral:rRNA from 1 species